UACGGAGGGGGCUAGCGUUAUUCGGAAUUACUGGGCGUAAAGCGCACGUAGGCGGCUUUGUAAGUCAGAGGUGAAAGCCUGGAGCUCAACUCCAGAACUGCCUUUGAGACUGCAUCGCUUGAAUCCAGGAGAGGUGAGUGGAAUUCCGAGUGUAGAGGUGAAAUUCGUAGAUAUUAGGAGGAACACCAGUGGCGAAGGCGGCUGCCUGGACCCGGCCUGACGCUGAGGCGCGAAAGCGUGGGGAGCGAUCCGG
rnacentral:rRNA from 1 species